GACGAACGCGGGCGGCGUGCUUAACACAUGCAAGUCGAACGAAAAUACCAAGCUUGCUUGGUUGAUUAGUGGCGAACGGGUGAGUAACACGUGAGUAACCUGCCCCUUACUUUCCUGGAUAACUGCUCGAAAGGGUAGCUAAUACGGGAUAUUCUGACCAGUCUGCAUGGGUUGGUUUGGAAAGGUUGUUUUUCUGGUAAGGGAUGGGCUCGCGGCCUAUCAGCUUGUUGGUGGGGUGAUGGCCUACCAAGGCUUUGACGGGUAGCCGGCCUGAGAGGGUGGACGGUCACACUGGGACUGAGAUACGGCCCAGACUCCUACGGGAGGCAGCAGUGGGGAAUAUUGCACAAUGGGCGCAAGCCUGAUGCAGCGACGCCGCGUGAGGGAUGAAGGCCUUCGGGUUGUAAACCUCUUUCGUCAGGGAACAAGGCACUGCUUUGGUGGUGUUGAGGGUACCUGGAUAAGAAGCGCCGGCUAACUACGUGCCAGCAGCCGCGGUAAUACGUAGGGCGCAAGCGUUGUCCGGAAUUAUUGGGCGUAAAGAGCUCGUAGGCGGCUGGUCGCGUCUGUCGUGAAAACUUCCGGCUCAACCGGGGGCUUGCGGUGGGUACGGGCCGGCUAGAGUGCGGUAGGGGUAACUGGAACUCCUGGUGUAGCGGUGGAAUGCGCAGAUAUCAGGAAGAACACCGAUGGCGAAGGCAGGUUACUGGGCCGUUACUGGCGCUGAGGAGCGAAAGCGUGGGGAGCGAACAGG
rnacentral:rRNA from 1 species